ACGAAGAAAUGUGAAAAAGAUAUGUGAAGAAAAUCAUUAAAUAAAAAACGCUAAAAAGAUAAAAAAAAAAAAAAAAAAAAAAAAUUUUAUAAUAAAAUUAUGUAUAUAAGUGUGAAAACCGUAGCUUGUUCAAGAGGAUGAAAUAAAGAAAAAAAAAAAAGAGAAUAUAUGUUCCUGAAUAUAUGUAUAUAGUGUGUGUAAAAAAAAGAAACUUGAAGAAUAAAGAAAAAAAUAAAAUAAAAAACAUCUUUCCCGACUGUUAACUUGGUGUACUCUUCAGGAAUAACAUAGCCAGUGCGAGUCAGGGGAAUUGGAGGAGCUUGUUGAGCGUCCUGUCGUCACUGCCGCACGUAGCGGCUCGUAGUAGAUGUGGACGGCACAUGAGCCAGUGAAUGUUCAUCCACUUUUGACAAAACGUUAGCCACCAAAGCACGAGAAGAUUCUUGAAUAGAAGUAGCAUCAUCUUUCAGCUCGCCCAUGGCCUCCCUCGCCUUCACAGCCGCAGCAGUCGUGGAAUGAUUGUGCCCGUUCGCACUUUCACGAUAGUGAAGGUUUCAUCCCCUACUGUUGUGUGAACACGAGCCUUGCAUGCAGUAGCCUCACAUCGCCAGUAUUGCUUGGUUCCAUCGGCGUUUUUCUUCUGUGCAGCGUAGAUGAAGUUAAGAUCAUCAACAAGCUUUUCCCUGCCACGGCUUGAUAGGAUUGUGUGCGGCAUGUUGCUCUGACUGUGGUGGCCCACGUACUGAAGAGUGAAAAUAGAAAACCGAACCAGUGAACGCUAGUCAAGCUAACAACCUGAUGUAUCAAAUCAUGAUUCGAACAACACACUCACACAACAUCACACACACACACACACACACACAUUGAUGGUCGGAUCUUGUCGUAGUAAUGGAGUUUCGUAACUAACGCGACAAAAAUACAGCCAAGGGAACGAAUCACCCUAGGGGACAAAUAACCCUAGGGUUCCAAUCCUCCAGGGAUGAAUACCCCGGGGAUGAAGCAACCGGGACAUUUCACCCGGGGACGAAUCACCCUAGAACCAGUAGUAGUAGUAGUAGUAGUAGUAGUAGUGAUGGUGGUGGUGAUGGUAAUAUUGAUAAUAGUAGUAGUAGUAGUAGUAGUAGUAGUGAUGGUGGUGGUGGUAGUAAUAUUGAUAUUAAUAGUGUAGUAGUAGUAGUAGUAGUAGUAGUAGUAGUAGUAGUAAUGGUGGUGAUGAUGGUGUUAGUAAUAUCGGUAGUAGUAGUAGUAGUAGUAGUAGCAGUAAUAGUAGUAGUAGUAGCAGCAGCAGCAGCAUAUGUUUGUUAAUGGAAUCGGCAGCGAUAAGGUCAUCUCCCCCAUCCUAACAAAAUAAUACAACGGUAAUCGGUAAUAAAUCAUCAAUGGAGUUUCACAUUACAAUAACCUGUAACAUGGAAUCAUAAAUAUUCCUCAUAUCACAUCAUUAAGUCGUUACUAAUAACAAAAACUUAACUAUUGUAAUAUACAAUUAUAUAUAACACAAAAAUAAAACGAACAUUCCCCGUAACAUUUCAUAAACCACAAUACAAAAAUAACAAGCCUGAGUGCCCAGUUCUCUUGCAGUGCUUUUAUUUAUUGUUUUUUUUUUUUCUGUAGUGUUAUUAAUCCCCAACCUAUGUUCGUGCGCCCCUAUGCACUGUUUUGUAACCAACCUUUCUUUAAUAAACUGUUAAACUGCGACUGAUGUACAGGCACAGUACAAGGUUUUCGGUACAGGUCAGAGUACGUUUCAGAAAAGAUGGGAUUGCUAUUUUUGCUGUUCGAACUUUCAUAGGUUUCGAGACGUGAGCUCGAGGCGAUGAAGGGUCGAGCUUGAGGGACUUCCCAUUUUUCAUUGUGUGUGUGUCGUGGUGGCGAGGAGCGGUGGUGUAGCUUCCUUUGACUCCUCCUGCUCCUCCUUUCUUUUCCCCCUUUAGUCUUUUUUAACGCUUGUCCUCGUGUCCCUCUUCCUCCUCGUUGCCUUUCCAUCGUUAUCGUUAUCAUCAUCCUCGCCCUCUCCGCCGGCCUUGUGUUCCUCACCUUACAUCUGCAGAUGGGGCUCACCCUCCUCUUCCUUUUCUGCUGCUUCAACGCUUCUCGAUUUUAGUUUUCUUUCUCCUCGUUCUCAUCUUUUAUCUUGUCCUCCACCACUCCUCUCCACACGAACAAGGACACACACACGCCACACUGUCACUGUCGAUCCGGUGUCAUUGCAACGUCUUGUUCAGGAAACCGGAACAAGGAGACAUGAAAGUUGGCGGUGCGUGUGGCUGUGGUGAGCGGCGGCGGCGGCGACGGCGGUGGCGGCGACGACGACGACGACGACGACGACGUGUGGCGUGGCGAGCGGGUUUCUGCAGUAUCCCUCUCCUUCCCGUUUUCUGUUAUUCCCCGUUCUCUUCCUCCGCCUCGUGUACUGCUACUCGCUCUUGUACGGUGACUUUUUUUUUUUUCCUUCGUUACAAUAUUUUGUCUGUUUUCUCUUUUCUUUUCUUCUCGUGCUUUUUAUUCACAUUAUUAUUUCUUAUUCUAUUUUGUUUAUUUUGUGUGUUUGUACGUGUGUAUUUUCCUCUUCCACAUUUUAUUUGGAUUUUCUUAAUUUUUCUCGUAUUUUUCUAUUCUCCUAUUCUUCCUUGUAUCACACACACACACACACACACACACCGCGUAGUGUAGUGGUUGUUAGCACGCUCGGCUCACAACCAAGAAGGCCUGGGUUCGAAUCCCGGGAGCGACGAGGCAAAUGGGUGAGCCUCUUAAUGUGUAGCCCCUGUUCACCUAGUAGCAAGUAGGUAAGGGAUGUAACCCGAGGGGUUGUGACCUCGCUGUUUCGGUGUGUGGUCACACACACACACACACACACACACUUCAUCGUCUCUUACUACCGAUGCCGUUGCUAUGACAAGUAUUUUAUAUUAAAUGAAUUUAUUAUUUAUUAAUUUAUUCGCUUAUUAUUAUUAUUAUUAUUAUUAUUAUUAUUAUUAUUAAAUAAUUUGCAUAUUUAUUUAUCUACAUAUAUUAUUUAUCUACAUAUAUUAUUUUUAUUUUAUUAUUAUUAUUAUUAUUUAUUUUAUUUAUUUAUUUUUUAUUUUUGUGUGUGUGUCGGGGAUGAGUUUUACAGCUCUCAUCGCAAGUUGUAUUAAAAUUCAAUAGCCACAUUUGCUCGCUCGUGUAUAUAUUGUUUAGUGUUAUCAGCGGUUCUUAAGAAACAGGAUUUUAAGAGAUUAUAAACUUUACGUGAUAUUAA